AUCACUAUAGCUUAAGGUGAUCUACCAAUGUCCCUUCAUACACUGGAUUGGUGACAACUCCAUGCCUCAUGAUUUAUUUUCUCUUUAUGACAAAACAGAGUAAGAAACUCCAAUCCCAGAAGGAGGCCACCAAGACUAACGUCCAGGUCACUUUGUCACAGAGACAGUCAUCACCAAAGAUGACCAGUGUGCCAAUGGAAGGCCUGUCUACACUGCAGAAUACCACUGAAAGAACUCCGUCUUAUUUCUGAUUGACUUUACAAAGGACAGAGUUUCACCAAGAUAAUCUUUUUGGAUAGAUGCUACCUUCCUGAAUUACACAAAAUGUAGCAAUACAUUCAUGAAAUGGGGGAGGGGGCAGAAGGCCUCAAUGGAGGAACGGCACUUACUAGAAUCUCAACACCAGGCCAUCUUUGAAGAACCAAACAAUGGGAUCCAUUCCUCUAGUUCUGAUAUUUUAACCAAGCGGAUAUUUUUAUUUACAAAGGAAAGCUAUUAUUUCACUUUUAACAGAGAUAGUUUAUAAUGCCAGAAUUAGAAGUAGCAGAAAUCUUGCUUUUAACAGAAAAACUAAAGGAAAAACAGAUAAUUGGGAGAAGCCUUCAGCGUCUCUGGUUUCAUCUUCUCAGGGCUGUUUAAGGUCAAUCUCCAGCAUGCUCAGUUUUCACAUAUAUCUUUGUUUAUCUUCCAGAAACUAUCAUUAUUCUGUGUGGCAGUAAUCUCUACUUGUCUUCCAGUAAGCCUAACCCAACCCCCCUACCUCCACCCAGUCCUCCCCUCCCCUGACACCCUGGCCUGGGUACCAGGUUCCGGGUCCUCACAAGACUUACUUUGCCAUCAGGAUGAAAUGGUUUUCAUACUUACUAAUAUAAAAAUUGACUACACCAUCCAUGGUUGUUCACUUUUUAUGGGUUAUGAUUCCUUUUGACAAGUUUGAUUAUUGUUUUGAGAAUCAGAAUCGUAGUCUGAAAAAUUAAAAUAGAAAUCAUCUCAGAACUCCUGCUCUUUAGCAUUUAACUCUCCUCUGUGCCUUGGGCUGUUGUGAUUACUUUGUCCAUUUGUACAGGAAACAUCAGUGAUGCUCAUAAGUGAGAUUGCAACUCUUGGUUCUGCAGUGAUAUUUUUAACAGAAGCUGAGAUGGGAGUUUGUAAAGGGCAUUUUGAAGGAAGAAUAACUUAAGAUGAAAUAUUUAGCCCAUCUCCUUAUUAAGACAAAAUUUGCGAGUCUAAUUUCAGCCAUUAUUUUGUAAUGAGUGCCCUCCAGUUCCUUAAUUCAUCAAUUUCCUCCACGGCUCUUGCAUUAGCUGUGCACUUAGCCCUUCUUCCUGUGCUGUCUCAGGCUCCACUCAGGUCCUGUGCUGCCAGCUUCCUCCCCAGCUAAGGACCACUGUCAAGUGGCUCUUGAUUUCACAGCCCCAUCCACUUAGGAGAAGGGAAUGAGCUCAUCAAUAAAGCUGAACCCAGAGCCCCGCCCCCACCCCAGAAGCCUGAGAGAAGAUAGCAACAGGAUACAUGAAGAUAUUCAUGUUGCAUAUGCAGAUAGCCCACAUGUUAGCAGGUGUUCUUGUAGCUGGUGUCUUCAGUGUUGGUGAUGCAAGGCUUUCUCUAUUUGUCUGACUGAUGCCAUCACAAAGUUGGAUCCACAUGUAUAAGAUCACACUGACCACAGACUUCAGUGCCAGGACCUGAGGAACUACCUCUCAGCAGAAAUGCAAGGCACAGUGCAUUACACCAGUCCCUGCUGAUGCGCUCCUCUAAGCAGGGGUGGAGCUGCCCUUGCCCAUACUUAUACUUUCACCAAACCAGAUGUCCAAGGGGCUGGGUGAACAGUGUCUGUAAAGCAGAAUUGUUUUAGCCUUUGAUCCAGAGGGUUGGACACCAGUUCUCAGGUGUUUUACAGGCACAAAACAAUAACCUCAUGAAGACUUAAUGCUGCCCAGACAGGGUGUUUGAGGAGGACAAACAGAGAGACAGAGUUGGACUCAAUGUGAAUGGCAAUGUCACUCCAACAUCAGCUGGGAUUUCAGGGCAAUUACUUAAGUCACAGGUUGGCAAUACACAGAGAAGGACAGAUGUGCUAACGCUGCGGCCGUGUGUGUGAAUGCAGGGAUAUCACCAGUGUGAUCAGGACAUUGAAAAAUGAGGGCCUAGUGUUGAGCUGUCUCCUUCAGAAUAACACUCACUUCACACAUGCUGGGCCAAAAUGCUUACUACCAUGACCAACCACUCUGGAAAUUCACAGAUUGAUUUUUUCAAUACAGAGAUAAAUAAAAUAUGACUCCGUCAGCUUUCCUAUAGCAUGAUUCAUUCGGGAUGCGGUGAAUUAUUUAUUCCUGACUCUCCGUGCUGCCUGCCUAUUUAUUCACUAAUCUUUAAAGCUAUAUGGUAAAACGGUGCAAACUGUCCUGAAACAGAUUCGCAUGUAUGGACAUUUUAAACAGCUAUAUUUUACAUAUAUCCGGGAGGAGAAAUCAAUGCUUCUGGGGCAACAGAGAAUCUGGCCCUCAAGAAGAUGAAAUUAUGGCUUCUUUAAUUUAAACCCAUGUAUCAUGCAAAAUAAAAUUAUUCUUUCAUCAACAUCAA